rnacentral:rRNA from 1 species
UACGUAGGGCGCAAGCGUUGUCCGGAAUUAUUGGGCGUAAAGAGCUCGUAGGCGGUUUGUCGCGUCCGCUGUGAAAACCUGAGGCUCAACCUCGGGCUUGCAGUGGGUACGGGCAGACUAGAGUGCGGUAGGGGUGACUGGAAUUCCUGGUGUAGCGGUGGAAUGCGCAGAUAUCAGGAGGAACACCAAUUGCGAAGGCAGCUCGCUGGGACGUAACUGACGCUGAGACGCGAAAGCGUGGGGAGCAAACAGG